rnacentral:sRNA from 1 species
CAUUAAUCGAAUCUGCGAUAGGGAUUGAAGCGGAAAUACUUUUUAGCGGUUUUUCGCCGAUAAAAAGAUUGCAGCGUAAAGCCCGACCCGCC